GACAAACUGCCCUGCAAAGUUAUUGACAUUGGCCUGGCCGCCUGGGGAUGCAAGGCCCUGAACAUUGUGAAGAAGGAGAUGCCAGGCCUGAUGCACAUGCGGGAGCUGUACUAGGCCUCCAAGCCACGAGGCUUCCAGGCUCCAAAGGCACCCGCAUCGCCAGCUGCUUGCACAUGACCAUGGAGAUGGCCAUCCACAUUGAGACCCUCAUCACCCUGGGUGCCCUAGCAGCAACAUCUUCCUCACCCAGAACCAUGUGUUGACUGCCAUUGCCAAGUCUGGCAUUCCAGUAUAUGCCUGGAAGGGCGAAAGGACAAGGAGUACUUGUGGUGCAUCGAGCAGUCACUAUAAUUCAAGGACGGGCCCUCAACAUUAUUCUGGAGGAUGGGGGUGACUUCGCCAACCUCUUCCACACCAAAUACUCACAGCUCUUGCUGGGCCAUCUGAGGCACUUCCAAGGAAACCAAGACUGGGGUCCACAACCCACACAGGAUGCUGGUCAGUGGGAUCCUGAAGGUGCCAAUGACAACAACUCCAUCACCAAGAGCAAGUUCAACAAGCUCUAUGGCUGCUGGGAGUCCCUCAUAGAUGGCAUCAAGUGGGCCACAGAGGUGAUGAUUGCCGGCAAGGUAGCGGUCAUAGCAGGCUAUGGCAACAUGGGCAAGAGCUGUGCCCAUGCCCUGUGGGGUUUCGGGGCCCACGUCAUCACCAAGAUCGACCCCAUCAACGCACUGCAGGCUGCCAUGGAGGGCUAUGAAGGGACCACCAUGGACGAAGCCUGUCAGGAGGGCAACACCUUUACCACCACCACAGGCUGUGUCAACAUCGUCCUUGGCCAGCACUUUGAACAGGUGAAGGAUGAAGCCAUCAUGUGUAACACUGGACACUUUGAUGUGGAGAUCGAUGUCAAAUGGCUCAGCGAGAACAUUGGGAGAAGGUGACCAUCAAGCCCCAGGUGACCAGGUACUCGCUGAAGAAUGGACGCCGCACCAUCCUGCUGGCUGAGGGUCAGCUGGUCAGUCUGGGUUGUGUCAUGGGUCACCCUGGCUUUGAGACGAGUGACUCCUUCAUCAACCAGGUGACUGCACAGAUUGAGCUGUGAACCCACCCAGAGAAGUACCCCAUCGGGGUUCACGUCCUGCCCAAGACGCUGGAUGAGGCAGUGGCUGAAGCCCACCUGGGCAAGCUGAGCACGAAACUGACCAAGCUGACUGAGAAGCAGGCCCAGUACCUGGAGCAUCUCCCCUGAUGGCCCCUUCAAGGCUGAUCAUUGA